rnacentral:ncRNA from 1 species
GGGCACCUUCGGGGGCCUAUACCCGGUGGGCAGAUUGCCCACCCUACACAUAGCGGACCCCACAAAGGGUACGCGUUUGCUAAACGGAAGACAGAAA